rnacentral:rRNA from 1 species
UACGUAGGGGGCGAGCGUUGUCCGGAUUUACUGGGCGUAAAGAGCGUGUAGGCGGCCAAACAGGUCCGUUGUGAAAACUGGAGGCUCAACCUCCAGACGUCGACGGAAACCGUAUGGCUAGAGUCCGGAAGAGGAGAGUGGAAUUCCUGGUGUAGCGGUGAAAUGCGCAGAUAUCAGGAAGAACACCAAUGGCGAAGGCAGCUCUCUGGGACGGUACUGACGCUGAGACGCGAAAGCGUGGGGAGCGAACAGG